GGCCGCGGCGCAAGUUAGGAACGAGUAAAACUUGGCGGGGAAGGUGCUCCUCCGCUGCUGGGGGCUCUCUGGGGCGGCAGUGCGCUCCACUGUCAAAGGCCGCUUUCCUGAGGUCAAAAUCUCUUCCCUAUUUGUACAGGAUAUACUCCAAUGCAAAAUUAUAGAAGGACAAUUCAAGCAGCCAACUGAAGGAAAUACGAAACUGAAUGGAACAAACUUUCACUAGGGGUCUAAUCCUGAAAGUUGCUUAAUAUGCUCUGACUGGAUUACAACUAGCAUUCUAGAAACAAAAUGUUUGUUGCGAUCUGCAGACAUUGCCCCUAGGAUGGCAAAAGAUAAAUAUCAUUACUGAAGUAGGAUCCUGCUCUUCUGAUGUGAAACGAACUGAUGUAAACUGUUCUUUAUGACAUGCAAUAAAAGGCCUGUGGUUACUAACGACAGAGCUAGAAGAGCAAGCGUGAAGCUGAUCACUGACUCUCUGGGAAUAAGCCCAAAGGCAUCAAAGGGGUAGAAAACCAGAGAAAAACCCAUGAAGACGUUCAUGAACUCACUAGAGGAAGCAAGGUGAAAGCAGCACAAGCAGCACUGAGGAAAGAUCUUUUAUGCACCUGUUUCAACAUCUUGGCAUCCCCUUUAUGCUCUCUCUCCCUCAUCUAAUUGACCCAGGAACAAAGAAGCUUCACAGAAAACACCUUCCAACUGCAUACAUGAGAAAUUCAGGAGAAUCCAAGCCAAGUUCGUCUCUCACCGAUACUCACCGGUACAUUCCUCGUCUGGAUUAAAGGUUCAUGAUACAACAAAUAGCAAACUGAAAUCUGGUGCAUGAUCCAGAAGCCAUACCUCCAUUACCCAGGGAGUUCAGAUAGUUCCUCUUCCCUGGAAUAAAUGCUGCUGAACUCCUACACUCACUCAGCAGGGCUUUUGCCCUCUGUCUCUGGCCAUGGUCAUAGAAUCACAGAAUGGUCUGGGUUGGAAGGGACCUUAAAGAUCAUCCAGUUCCAACACCUCU